rnacentral:rRNA from 1 species
GAUGAACGCUGGCGGCGUGCCUAAUACAUGCAAGUCGAGCGAACAGACGAGGAGCUUGCUCCUCUAACGUUAGCGGCGGACGGGUGAGUAACACGUGGAUAACCUACCUAUAAGACUGGGAUAACUUCGGGAAACCGGAGCUAAUACCGGAUAAUAUAUUGAACCGCAUGGUUCAAUAGUGAAAGACGGUUUUGCUGUCACUUAUAGAUGGAUCCGCGCCGCAUUAGCUAGUUGGUAAGGUAACAGCUUACCAAGGCAACGAUGCGUAGCCGACCUGAGAGGGUGAUCGGCCACACUGGAACUGAGACACGGUCCAGACUCCUACGGGAGGCAGCAGUAGGGAAUCUUCCGCAAUGGGCGAAAGCCUGACGGAGCAACGCCGCGUGAGUGAUGAAGGUCUUCGGAUCGUAAAACUCUGUUAUUAGGGAAGAACAAAUGUGUAAGUAACUAUGCACGUAUUGACGGUACCUAAUCAGAAAGCCACGGCUAACUACGUG